UGAGGAAUAUUGCGCAAUGGAGGAAACUCUGACGCAGCAACGCCGCGUGAGUGAAGAAGGCUUUCGGGUUGUAAAGCUCUGUCAGGUGGGAAGAAACCUUUAUAGUUGAAUAGGCUAUAAAACUGACGGUACCACCAAAGGAAGCACCGGCUAACUCCGUGCCAGCAGCCGCGGUAAGACGGAGGGUGCAAGCGUUGUUCGGAAUCACUGGGCGUAAAGCGCGUGUAGGCGGCUUGACAAGUCGAAUGUGAAAGCCCGGGGCUCAACCUCGGAAGUGCAUUCGAAACUGUCAGGCUUGAGUACGGGAGAGGGAAGUGGAAUUCCUGGUGUAGAGGUGAAAUUCGUAGAUAUCAGGAGGAACACCGGUGGCGAAGGCGGCUUCCUGGACCGAUACUGACGCUGAGACGCGAAAGCGUGGGGAGCAAACA
rnacentral:rRNA from 1 species